GGGGCUAUAGCUGAGUGGUAAAGUGCCCACCUCACAUGUGUGAGGCACUGGGUUCGAUCCUCAGCACCA
rnacentral:tRNA from 1 species